rnacentral:rRNA from 1 species
CCUACGGGUGGCAGCAGUGGGGAAUAUUGGGCAAUGGGCGCAAGCCUGACCCAGCAACGCCGCGUGAAGGAAGAAGGCUUUCGGGUUGUAAACUUCUUUUCUCAGGGACGAAGCAAGUGACGGUACCUGAGGAAUAAGCCACGGCUAACUACGUGCCAGCCGCCGCGGUAAUCCGUAGGGGGCAAGCGUUAUCCGGAUUUACUGGGUGUAACGGGCGUGUAGGCGGGAAAGCAAGUCAGAGGUGAAAACCAUGUGCUCAACCUGUGGCCUGCAUUUGAAACUGUUUUUCUUGAGUACUGGAGAGGCAGACGGAAUUCCUAGUGUAGCGGUGAAAUGCGUAGAUAUUAGGAGGAACACCAGUGGCGAAGGCGGUCUGCUGGACAGCAACUGACGCUGAGGCGCGAAAGCGUGGGGAGCAAACAGGAUUAGAUACCCCUGUAGUC